AUGAUAGUUUGUGCGGCUUAUGCUCAUGAACUCCCAAAGUAUGGUGUGAAGGUUGGCCCAACAAAUUAUGCUGUAGCGUAUUGUACUGGCCUGCUGCUGGCCCGCAGGCUCCUCAAUAGGUUUGGCAUGGACAAGAUCUAUGAAGGCCAAGUGGAAGUGACUGGAGAUGAAUACAAUGUGGAAAGCAUUGAUGGUCAACCUGGUGCCUUCACCUGCUAUUUGGAUGCAGGGCUUGCCAGAACUACUACUGGAAAUAAAGUUUUUGGGGCCCUCAAGGGAGCGGUGGAUGGAGGCUUGUCUAUCCCUCACAGUACCAAACGAUUCCCUGGUUAUGAUUCAGAAAACAAGGAAUUCAAUGCAGAAGUACAUCGAAAGCACAUCAUGGGUCAGAAUGUUGCAGAUUAUAUGUGUUACCUAAUGGAAGAAGACGAAGAUGCUUACAAGAAACAAUUCUCUCAAUACAUAAAGAACAACGUAACUCCAGACAUGAUGGAGGAGAUGUAUAAGAAAGCUCAUGCUGCUAUACGAGAGAAUCCAGUUUAUGAGAAGAAGCCUAAGAAAGAAGUUAAAAAGAAGAGGUGGAACCGUCCCAAAAUGUCUCUUGCCCAAAAGAAAGAUCGGGUAGCUCAGAAGAAGGCAAGCUUCCUUAGAGCUCAGGAGCAGGCUGCUGAGAGCUAAUAAACCAAACCACAAUUAUCUAUGAAGAUUUUUCAGAUAAAGACAAUAAUAAACUUAUUCAUCAAGCAAAAAAAAAAAAAAA